GUGCCAGCCGCCGCGGUAAAACGUAGGAGACGAGCGUUAUCCGGAAUUACUGGGCGUAAAGCGCGUGUAGGCGGACGGUCAAGUCUGUCGUGAAAGCUCCCGGCUAAACCGGGAGAGGUCGAUGGAGACUGGCGGUCUGGAGUGCGAGAGAGGGCAGUGGAAUUCCGGGUGUAGUGGUGAAAUGCGUAGAUAUCCGGAGGAACACCAGUGGCGAAGGCGGCUGCCUGGCUCGCAACUGACGCUCAGACGCGAAAGCAUGGGGAGCGAACGGGAUUAGAAACCCCCGUAGUCC
rnacentral:rRNA from 1 species